CCAUCCCCACCUACAUUAUCCUAACUAGGGUUUUGUUGAGCUGGGCCUUAAAAACCUCAAAAGAUGUAGAUUCUACCCCUUCUCUAGGUAAUCCAUUCUAGUGCUUCACUACCCUCCCAGUAAGAGUUUUUCCUAAUAUCCAACUUAAACCUCCCUUGCUGCACCU